AUUGAACGCUGGCGGCAUGCCUUACACAUGCAAGUCGAACGGUAACAGGUCUUCGGAUGCUGACGAGUGGCGAACGGGUGAGUAAUACAUCGGAACGUGCCUAGUAGUGGGGGAUAACUACUCGAAAGGGUGGCUAAUACCGCAUGAGAUCUACGGAUGAAAGCAGGGGAUCGCAAGACCUUGUGCUACUAGAGCGGCCGAUGGCAGAUUAGGUAGUUGGUGGGAUAAAAGCUUACCAAGCCGACGAUCUGUAGCUGGUCUGAGAGGACGAUCAGCCACACUGGGACUGAGACACGGCCCAGACUCCUACGGGAGGCAGCAGUGGGGAAUUUUGGACAAUGGGCGCAAGCCUGAUCCAGCAAUGCCGCGUGCAGGAUGAAGGCCUUCGGGUUGUAAACUGCUUUUGUACGGAACGAAAAGCCUUGGGUUAAUACCCUGGGGUCAUGACGGUACCGUAAGAAUAAGCACCGGCUAACUACGUGCCAGCAGCCGCCGUAAAAC
rnacentral:rRNA from 1 species